ensembl:snoRNA
UUGCAUGUAGAAAUGUCUCCUCUUCAUUCAUGUAGGAGCAGGGAUAUUCCGUAACAUGCCACAUUAAAAGAGUUUUCAGGGCUCCCAAUCUUGUAGUAAAGGUUGAGUAGUAGUAUAUUUCUCUUGCAUAA